rnacentral:rRNA from 1 species
AUUGAACGCUGGCGGAAUGCUUUACACAUGCAAGUCGAACGGCAGCACGGACUUCGGUCUGGUGGCGAGUGGCGAACGGGUGAGUAAUGUAUCGGAACGUGCCCAGUAGUGGGGGAUAGCCCGGCGAAAGCCGGAUUAAUACCGCAUACGACCUACGGGUGAAAGGGGGGGAUCGCAAGACCUCUCGCUAUUGGAGCGGCCGAUGUCAGAUUAGGUUGUUGGGGGGGUAAAGGCCUACCAAGCCGACGAUCUGUAGCUGGUCUGAGAGGACGACCAGCCACACUGGGACGGAGACACGGCCCAGACUCCUACGGGAGGCAGCAGUGGGGAAUUUUGGACAAUGGGCGAAAGCCUGAUCCAGCCAUGCCGCGUGCGGGAAGAAGGCCUUCGGGUUGUAAACCGCUUUUGUCAGGGAAGAAAUCUUCUGGGUUAAUACCUCGGGAGGAUGACGGUACCUGAAGAAUAAGCACCGGCUAACUACGUGCCAGCAGCCGCCGUAA